rnacentral:rRNA from 1 species
AUUGAACGCUGGCGGCAGGCCUAACACAUGCAAGUCGAGCGGAGCGGCGGACGGGUGAGUAAUGCCUAGGAAUCUGCCUGGUAGUAGGGGAUAAAGUCAGGAAAGGGGCGCUAAUACCGCAUGCUAUCAGAUGAGUCUAGGUCGGAUUAGCUAGUUGGUGGGGUAAAGGCUUACCAAGGUGACGAUCCGUAACUGGUCUGAGAGGAUGAUUGGUCACACUGGAACUGAGACACGGUCCAGACUCCUACGGGAGGCAGCAGGGGGGAAUAUUGGACAAUGGGCGAAAGUCUGAUCCAGCCAUGCCGCGUGUGUGAAGAAGGUCUUCGGAUUGUAAAGCACUUUUAGUUGGGAGGCGUUACCAACAGAAUAAGCACCGGCUAACUUCGUGCCAGCAGCCGCGGUAAUUC